AACCUAUCUUCCCACGUCAUCCGUAUCAUCCCAGCUUCUUCCAAAUCCCCUGCAUCCCAUAGAUCCCCUCCGGAAAUCAAGCAUCUCAUUCCAUGUUCAUCUUCCCGUUGUAUCUCCAUUCCAUUUGCAUACUGAACCUUCCCAGAUUUCCCUCGCGACCGUGUUCAUCUCCCACGUCCACGAGCCAAGCCAACUCCUUCAUCACCUACGGAUCUUCCCAGCUCACGUGUUCCAAAGUCCACAGCUUUCGGAACAGAGAAGCAUCUUUAUCUUCUUCCGGCUCAGCUCUCUCUCUUCCAUCCUUAUCCAAACAACAUCAUCUCCUUCCGUCCGCAUGAACCCAGCAACCGCUAGUUCCCAAGCGGAUCCUCUUCUUCCUCCCAAACCAACCAAUCUUUAUCCCAACUAGAUUCCCAAGCUUCACGGAUUAGAACCGGAUCCUAGCCUCUUCCGCAUCCCGUGCUCUGUGCCAUAUCCAGCCUCACGUCAUGUUGAUCCGGUCUUCAUCUCGCUCGUCAAGCAUCCCAACGUCCAAAUGCAUCCUCCCCUGCUUCGAAACUAUC
rnacentral:lncRNA from 1 species